rnacentral:rRNA from 1 species
AGAGUUUGAUCCUGGCUCAGGAUGAACGCUAGCGGCAGGCUUAACACAUGCAAGUCGAGGGGCAGCAUGUCCAGCAAUGGAUGAUGGCGACCGGCGGAAGGGUGCGUAACGCGUGAGCAACAUGCCCUAUACAGGGAGAUACACCAGGGAAACUUGGUCUAAUAUCCCAUAGCAUUCAUUGAAGGCAUCUUUAAUGAAUUAAAGCUUCGGUGGUAUAGGAUUGGCUCGCGUGACAUUAGCCAGAUGGUGAGGUAACGGCUCACCAUAGCAAUGAUGUCUAGGGGUUUUGAGAGGAAGGCCCCCCACACUGGGACUGAGACACGGCCCAGACUCCUACGGGAGGCAGCAGUGAGGAAUAUUGGACAAUGGAUGGAAAUCUGAUCCAGCCAUGCCGCGUGCAGGAAGACGGCCUUAUGGGUUGUAAACUGCUUUUAUACGGGAGCAAUAAGGGUUACGAGUAAUCCGAUGAGAGUACUGUAUGAAUAAGGAUCGGCUAACUCCGUGCCAGCAGCCGCGGUAAUACGGAGGAUCCGAGCGUUAUCCGGAAUUAUUGGGUUUAAAGGGUGCGUAGGCGGCCAUUUAAGUCAGCGGUGAAAUUUUGCAGCUUAACUGUAACAGUGCCGUUGAUACUGUUUGGCUAGGAUUUGGUUGUAGUGUGCGGAAUGUGUGGUGUAGCGGUGAAAUGCUUAGAUAUCACACAGAACACCGAUUGCGAAGGCAGCACACUAAGUCAUUAUUGACGCUGAGGCACGAAAGUGUGGGGAUCAAACAGGAUUAGAUACCCUGGUAGUCCACACUGUAAACGAUGAUAACUCGCUGUCGGCGAUACACAAGUCGGUGGCCAAGCGAAAGCAUUAAGUUAUCCACCUGGGGAGUACGACCGCAAGGUUGAAACUCAAAGGAAUUGACGGGGGCCCGCACAAGCGGAGGAACAUGUGGUUUAAUUCGAUGAUACGCGAGGAACCUUACCUGGGUUUAAAUGGGGAGUGACAGGCUUGGAAACAGGCCCUUCUUCGGACACUCUUCAAGGUGCUGCAUGGUUGUCGUCAGCUCGUGCCGUGAGGUGUCGGGUUAAGUCCCAUAACGAGCGCAACCCCUAUCGAUAGUUACCAGCACGUUACGGUGGGGACUCUAUCGAGACUGCCGGUGUAAACCGUGAGGAGGGUGGGGAUGACGUCAAAUCAGCACGGCCCUUACAUCCAGGGCUACACACGUGUUACAAUGGCCGGUACAAAGGGCAGCUACACAGCGAUGUGAUGCUAAUCUCCAAAUCCGGUCUCAGUUCGGAUCGAAGUCUGCAACCCGACUUCGUGAAGCUGGAUUCGCUAGUAAUCGCGCAUCAGCCAUGGCGCGGUGAAUACGUUCCCGGGCCUUGCACUCACCGCCCGUCA